rnacentral:lncRNA from 1 species
UAGGUGAUGGCGGGGAAGAUAAAACAUUUCUAGAGUUGAACCGUUGUUCCAAUUUUGUAACAGAAUUGGUAGAAACCCCACCUACCUCUUCCUUCUUUUUCUUAGAAAACAUGGCAGUUCCAGAUGAUGUCGGGGUUUUGGCAAUUUUUCCUGUCCGAAUACCUUCUUCCAAUGAUUCUCCUAUUUUUACCAAAUCCGCAAA